GUCCGAGCACGGUCUUGGUCAUCAAAUAUAAAGAAUUUCUACACAAAAAAUUGUUGAUUUAUUUAUCAAAUAAUCAAAUAAAUUUAACACAUAAAAUACAUACAAUCACAUAAUAUACCAAAAAAUUUCCCCAAAUUAUAUCUUUAUCUUCAUCGCUCCAUUGAGCUCAUGUGAUUUCUGCCCCUGGAAUACAUCCUUUAACCAAGCAACCAAUUUGCUUUCGUAUAUUAUUUGAAAAUGUUCUGUAAGUUAAAGUUUUAAGUUUAAUUAAUAUAAUAAAAAGAAAACAAUUAAUUAAUUAUUUAAUUUUGAAAUAAACUAAAUACCCAAAUUGAAAAACUACACCAGAAAAUGGUAUCGAAGGUUUGUGGGAUUCCUUUUGUAAAUUUUCUAAUACACCGAAGAGAUGAUUCCACUUCAUUGUCAAUGGAUUGUACUUGUCCACGUACUUGACCACGCUUACGUCUUUGUCCACGUGGCAUUUCUGGAAAAAAUGAUCUGAAUAUAAGAUUAAGAUCAAAUAAUGAACUAAAAACGUACAUAUGAAAUAAGCUACUCAGGAGGAGACGAUGCAAAAUCUGAAAAGAAAAGAAAAAAUUGAUUAAUACACUAACAUAAGCAAAUAGAUAUAAGAUCUGAAAAUAAGGAAAAUAUAAAAUCUGUAAAAUUUAAUCUAAAAAUCAGGCUUAUAUAUAUGAACUUAUAUAAAACUCAACUAUGAACUCUAAGACUUCUAAAUACAUUGAUUUUAAUAAAAGAAAAAUGAAUAAAUAGGGCUCAUCGGAUUAAGAUUUUGAACAUAUAUUAUUUAGAAUACAGAAUGAAUAAUCAGAAAUUAAGAAUAAGAUUAAAUCAGAAGUAAGAAUAUGAUCAGAAAUUAAGAAUAAAAAAUUUAUGUAUUAGAAUAAAGAAAUUAAGAAUAAGAUUGCAUCAAAAAUUAAAAAUAAUAUCAGAAAUUAAGGCUAAGAUUAGUUCUCCUAACUCAUAGCAACCUAAAGCGUUGAAAACUAACCAAAAUGAAUAAUAAGGAGAUUAUUUUAUUUGAAUACAACACAAUAAGAAGAAGAAUUAAGAAGAAAAAUAGAUGACCACUGUGGAAUGAUUCUGAAUAACACCAAAAAAAAUUGAUUGAUUAAUGACACCAACCACCAUGAAUAGCUGAUUGAAAAAAGAUAGACUAUUUACCUACCACUGAAUUGGUUUUAAACACUGAAUUAGUUUCAUUCUAGGGUAACAUACAAGGCAGUAAUGUACUAUUGGUUUCAUUCUAAAGGGAAGUCUGGCUAAAUGUAUGGAUGGUGAAGUCGUAACAUAAACUUUAGGGAUAAGGGAGAAAAAUUAACUGUUAAACCUUCCCCAAACUACUAGAACCGAUUUCAGUAUGCAUAUAAAAAUUACAGAACAGGAUUAACAAUUCUGGAAACCAAAAUGAAUGAUGUUACUUAGAGAACAGAAUUAACACUAACCCUAACUCUAAAAUUAAUCCAUUCCUUUGUUUUUGGUAAAUCUAUCUCAUCCACAAAAUACCAUCUUUAAUAUUCUCAAUACAAUUAAAUGAAUGUCAGAACAUAUAUAAUAUCAUCUUCAUUUCAAUUCCUGUUAAAAGUUAAACAAAAUCAGACAAGAUCAUCACUAUGUCAGAAUAGGUAACAAUAUUUUUCUGUAAGGCUUGUUUUCAGAUUCUAACAUGUAUUAUUGUUUGUGUUUUAAUCAAUCUGUAGUUCUAUAGCAUGGUUAUGAGGAUGAGCAUAGAUUGUGAUUGCUGCAACAGAAAAAUAAGAAGAACCCUUCUGAAGAUGUAAUGUAAAAAAAUGAUUCUUAAUUACAGAUAUUUAUAAUUAAUGGACACUGUUUUGUUUUAACACAAAAAGGAGAAAAUAACUUUAUUUUUUUAACAAGUGGGUUAACACAUCUAGACUCUAGCUAUAUAUAUCAUAUGUUCUCUACAAAAAACAAUUGCUGAUAUGCAUGUUACAAAAUAAAUCUCACAAAAAUCACUUACAAGGUUAGGCUUUCCGGAUUUUCAAUGAUCUUUGGAAAUGUCCGAGGAAAGGUUGCUAACUCAGCAUCAUAAAUAAUAAACUUAAUAAACUAAAUGGAUAAUUGGUUAUUAAUCAAUCAUCCAACUUAAUAAACUAAAAAACAGAACAGGCCGAUGGCGAUGGAAUCAGAAUAUGAAUAGGAAUGAGGAUGGAAUCAAGAUGAGAUCAGUAACAGGGGAAUCAGAUUUUCAUUACUUUAGGUAGGUUUUGAUGUAGCUCCCGACAUCGUUUAAGUUCCCUGUUGGACUUUGAAGUUUAUGUAUAUAUUAAGGAGGCUGAUGGGGAUGGAAUCGGAAUAUGAAACUCUAAAUAUUAAAUCUGUCUCCAGAAUUGGUAUUGGGGGAUUUCGAAGAAAAAAAACAUGAUUUGGAAUUUGGGGAAAGUUGGACAGGAAGAAAUAGCGAUUCCCAAAUGAUUCUCGCCUCUAGAAACAGUGCCCGGAGAAGAUUGAGAAGUUGGACAGAAGAUUGGAAUUCAUAACCGGCUGGAGUAGAGCUUGAAAUUUUUUCUUGAGAAGAUUGAGAAGAAAGAUUUGGGAUUUGGGGUAUAAGGGUUUACGAUUUGG
rnacentral:lncRNA from 1 species